rnacentral:rRNA from 1 species
CCUACGGGUGGCAGCAGUGAGGAAUAUUGGUCAAUGGCCGGAAGGCUGAACCAGCCAUGCCGCGUGAAGGUCAGUGCCCUAUGGGCGUUAAACUUCUUUUGACAGGGAAGAGCAGAAGACGGUACCUGUCGAAUAAGCCACGGCUAACUACGUGCCAGCAGCCGCGGUAAUACGUAGGUGGCAAGCGUUGUCCGGAUUUACUGGGUGUAAAGGGCGUGUAGCCGGGCUGACAAGUCAGAUGUGAAAUCCGGGGGCUCAACCCCCGAACUGCAUUUGAAACUGUUGGUCUUGAGUAUCGGAGAGGCAGGCGGAAUUCCUAGUGUAGCGGUGAAAUGCGUAGAUAUUAGGAGGAACACCAGUGGCGAAGGCGGCCUGCUGGACGACAACUGACGGUGAGGCGCGAAAGCGUGGGGAGCAAACAGGAUUAGAUACCCUAGUAGUC